ensembl:snRNA U6 U6 spliceosomal RNA
GUGCUUACUUUGGGCAGCACAUAUAUUACAACCGGAAUGAUAGAAGAUUAGCAUGGUCCCUGCACAAAGAGGACAUGUAAAUUAGUGAAAUGCGCCAUAUUUUU